rnacentral:rRNA from 1 species
UACGGAGGGAGCUAGCGUGGUUCGGAAUUACUGGGCGUAAAGCGCACGUAGGCGGCUUUGUAAGUAAGAGGUGAAAGCCUGGAGCUCAACUCCAGAACUGCCUUUUAGACUGCAUCGCUUGAAUCCAGGAGAGGUGAGUGGAAUUCCGAGUGUAGAGGUGAAAUUCGUAGAUAUUCGGAAGAACACCAGUGGCGAAGGCGGCUAACUGGACUGGUAUUGACGCUGAGGUGCGAAAGCGUGGGGAGCAAACAGG